CGGCGCACGUGACCCGGCGUUGCUAGGAAACGGGAGUGGGGCCUGCGGGGACGCGGCUGGAGCCUGCGCAUUUCUUCCUUCCUGCUUUCAAAGUUGCAAUGAGCGCAGAGCGGUGCGCCCGAGGGGGUUGAAGCGUUGAAAGUGUGUUACCCAGAUUUUAUCUGAGUUAAACACGGGCCGGCCGCUGUGGCUCACGUCUGUACUCCCAGAGCCUUGGGAGGUCGAGGCGGGAAGAUCGCUUGAGCCCGGGAGCUCGAGACCAGACGCGGCAACAUGGCGAGACGCACAUCUCUGCCUUUAAAAAUGUGGCGCGUUUACCCUAUUUUAAAAAAGUUUUAAGUUUUAGCCAACCGGGAUCAGCUUAGAUUGUGGGCGUCCAACCCCAGCCAACAGGGAAAGGACAGAGGAACAGAAGCUCCCUUCCUUUGUCCCGUGUGCUCUGGAGAUUGCAUCCCACGCAGGCAGCCCCCUUCCGUACAAGAGAGGCUGGCGGUUACCUUUCUUGGGGAGACGCGUCCGACUGCUUCAUUGUGGGGGCCUCAGGAGCGGAGGAUCGGGUCCCGCCCGAGGUGACGCGUAAACCCAGACUCUCAGCAACGCGGGUAGGAAGGACCCUUGAAGUUCCGCGGCGACCACGUCGGCUGAAACCAGCAGCCCAGGACAAGUGGACCAGCCAGCAAGACCCAGACCAUCCAAACCGGCUGAUCCUACGACAGGACCCAGAUGCCAGUGAAAGUGACCACAGCCCUGCUCUAGUCACCCCGGAAGCUGACCAGUCUACGCACGGCCGAAGCUUCGUCAAGGAAGUAAAUGUAGUUAGAAAUCUUAAGCCCAGUAAUUUUCCUUGUCAUCUUAAUUGUUUUACUAUUAACCUGUCGCUUUGCUCAACCCCCUCCUCUGGGCAAACAUCUCUUGUCCAUCCUAGGUACAAACAUGCUACUCUUCCCUUUGUUCUUGCUGCUCUCGCUAGAUCUAUGUCAGAAGGAGGGAUAUGCGGAGAGUUUAAUUUAACUAAUUGUUGCCUAAAAAUCGAUGACAAUGAGGAGGACGUCAUGAAUUAAUUGCGAGAAUGCGAGACUUAGCUCAUGUUCCAACACAAACCUGGAAACCGGAAUGGUCUCCAGGUUCCCCCCGCCCCCCCGUGGUUGGUUUUCAUCCCUCGGGGGAUUUAAAACCUUACUAGGAGUAGUUCUGGCCAUACUGGGAGUCCGCCUCGUACUCUUGUCUCUUCCCCUCCUUGUCAAGAAUAUCGACAAAGCCAGAGACGCUCGUGUGGACAGGCCGAGUACCACCGAGCUCAUCCCAUAACUACGUGUCCACCCCUGCCAGGAAAAGAGCUACUUCCCCCUGUAGAAGUAAAUAAAAAAUAGUGAUGCUUUCUAUUAAACCUUAUUUAUAAAAAGCAUCAAGGAGGGAAUAAAGCGGAAAUUGAAGAAACGGAAAAUACCUUUUUCGUAUAAAGCUGACUCGCCCCAAAGCCAGCAACAGGCAAAGCCCCCAGGCAAGGCCUUGAAAACACCAUUUAAAAAGCCAGAACCCCAAGGAAUGCCGCCCAGACGCCUCCCAGCACUGCACUCCCCCCGUGCAAAGAUAAGAACCAGACUCCUCCUUCCGUUUCCCGCUCCCCGUAAAAUACUCUGCCAGUUUUGUAAGCUCCUGUUCUUUCUCAAUGCGGCCGCAAGCUCACAAGCUCGGCUGAGGUUACGAAACCUGUCACUGUACGAUUAACUGCCUCUGUCCUGCGUCUGUAAAUUCACUUUCCCGCACUGCAAGUUUCACGCCGCUGCACGCUUCAAAGUCAAGCCCUUUGUUC
rnacentral:lncRNA from 1 species